UACAAGCACAGCCGCUUUCAGUUCAUGAAGAAGAAAAAACUUGAACAGAAACUCAAAAAUGCCGCCCAAAUCCGCACAAAGCAAACCGUACUUCUUCUACGGCCACCGGAAACCUACUCAGCAUCGUCCUACAGUCCAAGGAGGCCUUUUUUCCAAUCGCCAAACCAUAAACCCAAACCGCACCACCAAAAACUCACCUUCCUCUGUUACCCAAGGUGAUUUUCAGCUUCAAAAAUGGGACCCGGAUGGAGUUUCGGGUCAACAAUCCAGAGACGCAUCUCAGGAAUUCUUCUCUUUAGCUCAGCGCCUAUCACCAAUUGCUAGGUAUAUAGUGGAUUCAUUCAGGAAACAUGGGAAUUGGGGUGCACCCCUUUUGGCUGACCUUAAUAGUCUACGGAGGGUUACUCCUAAGCUUGUAACUGAGGUUCUCAAACACCCUAAUCUUGAUCCCAAAAUUUCAUCCAAGUUCUUCUAUUGGGCUGGAAAACAGAAAGGUUACAGGCAUGAUUUCUCUUGUUACAAUGCCUUUGCUUAUGGUCUGAAUCGGGCGAAUCAAUUUCGGACAGCUGAUCAGGUUCCUGAGCUGAUGCAUAUGCAAGGAAAGCCACCUAGUGAGAAACAAUUUGAGAUCUUAAUCAGAAUGCAUGGUGAUGCUAACAGGGGUCUUAGAGUAUACUAUGUUUAUGAGAAAAUGAAAAAAUUUGGGGUAAAACCAAGAGUUUUUCUGUAUAACAGAAUAAUGGAUGCUUUGGUUAAAACCAAUCAUUUGGACAUGGCUAUGUCAGUUUAUGAUGAUUUCAAGAAGGAUGGGUUGGUGGAGGAAAGUAUGACUUUCAUGAUCUUGAUAAAGGGCCUGUGCAAGUUAGGACGGAUGGAUGAAGUGUUUGAGCUUUUGGGUCGGAUGAGAGAGAAUCGUUGCAAACCAGAUGUGUUUGCUUACACAGCAAUGGUAAAGAUAUUGGUUGCAGAGCGGAACUUGGAUGGUUGUUCAAGGGUUUGGAAGGAGAUGCAGCAGGAUGCAGUUGAACCUGAUGUUAUUGCUUAUUCAACUUUUAUUGCUGGUUUGUGUAAAAAUAAUCAAGUUGACAAAGGCUAUGAGUUGUUCAAGGAAAUGAAACAAAAGAAUAUUUUGAUAGAUAGGGGGAUUUAUGGAUCUUUGAUUGAAUCGUUUGUAGCAAAUGGGAAAGUUGGUUUAGCUUGUGAUUUGCUUAAAGAUCUGAUAGACUCGGGCUAUAGGGCUGAUUUGGCAAUCUAUAAUUCUAUUAUUGAAGGUCUCUGCAAUGCAAAACGAACAGAUAGGGCCUAUAAACUUUUCCAAAUCACAGUUCAAGAAGAUCUUUGUCCUGACUUUUCCACUGUGAAGCCCAUAUUGGUGUCUUAUGCAGAGUCAAAGAAAAUGGAUGAAAUUUGCAAAUUGCUUGAGGAACUGCAGCGAUUAAGCCAUUGCACUAGUGAUGAUUUAUCCAAAUUCUUCACAUAUAUGGUAGAGAAGGAUGAUACGAUUAUGAUUGCUCUAGAAGUCUUUGAAUAUUUGAAAGUAAAAGAUUAUUGCGGUGUUCCAAUAUAUAACAUUCUUAUGGAGGCGCUCUAUCAGAAUGGCGAGGUGAACAAGGCACUCACAUUGUUCUCUGAGUUGAGAAGUUCAGAUUAUGAACCUGAUUCAUCAACUUAUAGCAAUGCCGUCCAGUGUUUUGUAGAGGUCGGAGAUGUACAGGAGGCAUCUAUUUGCUAUAACAGAAUUAAAGAGAUGUCUUUGAUUCCCUCAGUCACUGCAUAUCGUUCUCUUGUCAUAGGGCUUUGCAAAAUAGGACAGAUUGAUCCAGCUAUGAUGCUAAUUCGUGACUGCCUAGGCAAUGUGGCAAGUGGCCCUAUUGAGUUUAAGUAUAUUCUCACUAUUAUUCAUGUCUGUAAAAUGAAUGAUGCCGAGAAGGUAAUGAAAGUUCUUAAUGAAUUGCUCGAAGAGGGCUAUUCUCCUGAUAAUGCUGUAUAUUGCGCUGUAAUUUAUGGUAUGUGCAAACAUGGAACAAUUGAAGAAGCACAGAAAGUUUUUGCAAGUAUGAGAAAGCGAAAACAUCUUACUGAAGCCGACUUAGUUGUUUAUGAUGAGAUGCUUAUUGACCACAUGAAGAAGAAGACAGCAGACUUGCUGUUGUCUGGGUUGAAAUUUUUCGGUUUGGAGUCAAAGUUAAAAGCGAAGGGGUGUACUCUUUUAGCAGGUUGAAGAAAUGAAAAUAGGUAGCUUGGUGAACAGUUUUGUCUGUAGUUGUUGAAGGGGACCAAUCUAUCGCACUGGAAGAGUUCAAGUGCAUAUUCUCAUUGAGAGUUGAAAGACUACUCCGAUGCUGUUUGAAGCUUGUCCAGCUUACAAGCACAAGUCACCAAGGUAAUCUUGAUCGCCAAGACUGGAGCGGAUGGAGUAACACC